GGUUAAGCGACUAAGCGUACACGGUGGAUGCCCUGGCAGUCAGAGGCGAUGAAGGACGUGCUAAUCUGCGAAAAGCGUCGGUAAGGUGAUAUGAACCGUUAUAACCGGCGAUGUCCGAAUGGGGAAACCCAGUGCAAUUCGUUGCACUAUCGUUAACUGAAUACAUAGGUUAACGAGGCGAACCGGGGGAACUGAAACAUCUAAGUACCCCGAGGAAAAGAAAUCAACCGAGAUUCCCCCAGUAGCGGCGAGCGAACGGGGAGCAGCCCAGAGUCUGAAUCAGCUUGUGUGUUAGUGGAACGGUCUGGAAAGUCCGACGGUACAGGGUGAUAGUCCCGUACACCAAAAUGCACAGGCUGUGAACUCGAAGAGUAGGGCGGGACACGUGGUAUCCUGUCUGAAUAUGGGGGGACCAUCCUCCAAGGCUAAAUACUCCUGACUGACCGAUAGUGAACCAGUACCGUGAGGGAAAGGCGAAAAGAACCCCGGCGAGGGGAGUGAAAAAGAACCUGAAACCGUGUACGUACAAGCAGUGGGAGCACCUUCGGGUGUGACUGCGUACCUUUUGUAUAAUGGGUCAGCGACUUAUAUUCUGUAGCAAGGUUAACCGUAUAGGGGAGCCGCAGGGAAACCGAGUCUUAACUGGGCGUUAAGUUGCAGGGUAUAGACCCGAAACCCGGUGAUCUAGCCAUGGGCAGGUUGAAGGU
rnacentral:rRNA from 1 species